rnacentral:rRNA from 1 species
AACGAACGCUGGCGGCAUGCCUAACACAUGCAAGUCGAACGAGACCUUCGGGUCUAGUUGCGCACGGGGGCGUAACGCGUGGGAACCUUCCCUUAGGUUCGGAAUAACUCCCCGAAAGGGGUGCUAAUACCGGAUAAUGUCUUCUGACCAAAGAUUUAUCGCGUGUGGAUGGGCCCGAGUUGCAUUAGCUAGUUGCUAGUGUAAAAGCCUACCAAGGCGACGAUCCAUAGCUGGUCUGAGAGGAUGAUCAGCCACACUGGGGCUGAGCAACGGCCGGGACUCUUACGGGAGGGAGGAAUGGGGAAUAUUGCACAAUGGGCGAAGGGAUGAUGGAGCACUGCUGGGAGAGUGCUGAAGGUCUGAAGGUAGUAAAGCUCUUUUAACCGGGAUGAUAAUGACAGUACCGAGAGAAUAAGCGCCGGCUAACUACGUG